AUAACAUUAUUAAUGCGAUUAUUUCUUCAGUUGACGUGAAUAUCAAGCUUACUGCCGGACGGAACUUGACAAAACGUCGGAGCACAACAGCAAGUCCUGCCCUGUGACCUGCUCUAAGACUUGCCGUGCGACCUGCCCUGCGACCUGUCCGCCGGGACGUGAGAGCCGCUUCAACAAAAAAGCAACGGUUUCAUCACGACAUCUGGAUCACCUGAGUAGGACAGCAGGUCCUCGGUCAUCACGCGUUGGUUGUUGACCAUCGACGCCGGGAACUGCUCUUCGCGAGUCGCUGCAACAGAAUAUCAAAAAAAGAAUUAAGGUAACGUAACCAAACU